UAACUUUAUUUAAUGUAGGUACCGUCUGGCUGCAAGACGUAAAAUACAAGCGCUACUUGGGAGGCAACCCAUACAAAUCAGAUUUGCUUUCUUUAUCCUUAUCUUUUAUUUUUCGUUUUUGCUUAUUUGUUUUAGUAGUUAUUUUCGUAAAUUUCAUCCCUAUAUGCUUAAGUGUUUCAUUGCAUUCUUAUUUUUGAUUACAUUGAGGACAAUGCAAUAUUUAAGUGUGGGGGAAGGGAUUUACACUUUUAUCUUGAGUCAUAUAUAUUGAAAAAUACAAAAAAAAUCGAAAAAUGUCAAAAAUUUUAAAAAAAAAUUUGGUUACUUUUGUUUUUGUUUUUGAGUCUUAGAAUGCCCUUUCAACUGUCUAGGAUGAUUCUAUAUCUCUGAAAUCAUGAUUAAAAGAGGAUCACAAAAUUGAGAUGAUUUUUAAAAUGGUAUUCUUUGGUUAAUUGAGAUAUAUGAAAAAUGCAUGCAUGUGUAGUGGAUAUGGAUUUCGUAACCUUGGUAUAGAAUAUGAGCAUGUUAGGAUGAGUUUUGAUUCAUAAAAGCCCAUGUGAGAUAUUUGAGCCAUGUCCCUUUUUCUUGGAGUGAUAAAUGAAAAACAUAUUCUUAAUUUCUUGGCGAUAUUAAGUUUAAUGGACUAGAGAAUGCUAGAAUUCACUCUUGUGCUUGUUGAAACGUUAUAUCAAUACAUGGCCCUGAUUCUGGAAAGGAUAGAGGCAACCUAGGAAUUACCACCAUUGCCAAAUAAGCAUGUGUCCCUAUUUGUGCCCGUCGUGGGACUCCCUUAGAUAAACCCCUUUG
rnacentral:lncRNA from 1 species